AUUGAACGCUAGCGGCAGGCCUAACACAUGCAAGUCGAACGAGUGGCGGACGGGUGAGUAAUGUCUGGGAAACUGCCUGAUGGAGGGGGAUAACUACUGGAAACGGUAGCUAAUACCGCAUACCAUCGGAUGUGCCCAGAUGGGAUUAGCUAGUAGGUGGGGUAAAGGCUCACCUAGGCGACGAUCCCUAGCUGGUCUGAGAGGAUGACCAGCCACACUGGAACUGAGACACGGUCCAGACUCCUACGGGAGGCAGCAGUGGGGAAUAUUGCACAAUGGGCGCAAGCCUGAUGCAGCCAUGCCGCGUGUAUGAAGAAGGCCUUCGGGUUGUAAAGUACUUUCGGCAGGGAGGCGUUAUCUGCAGAAGAAGCACCGGCUAACUACGUGCCAGCAGCCGCGGUAAUUC
rnacentral:rRNA from 1 species